rnacentral:lncRNA from 10 species
CCCCCGCCAUAUCCUGUAGAAACCAACAGCAGAAGAGGAAAUGCUUGUGGGUGAUGGAGAGGUGAAUCCCGCUCUUCUAACCCUGAACUCACCUCAUCUGGUGGGUGCCGGACUUUCUGUAGAUAUUUUUUUAGCACUUCCUCUGGGGUUUUACCUGCAGAGACAGGAGGUUCAGUGGGCCACCAAGGCAGAGGAUAUACCUGCUGGAUACCAGUUAUACCAGUUGUGACUAUUUUUACUUCAUUAUAAAGAUGAGAAAAUAGGGGCUCCAUGUGGUCACACAACUUGCAAGAAACAAAGGAUAAAUCAAACCAGGAUGGGAGGAUGGAGGAGAAAGCUGAAUACAAAACAAGGGCCACUGGGCCAAGAAAAGAAGAAUGGACUUGUUUCUGGACUCUGUGACCUGCUCCCCAGGGCCAGGCAUGGUAUGGUGGAUGGGCAGUCAGGAAAAUCAGGUGCAAGUCCCAUCCCUGCCAGGAGUUUCUCGCUAAGCCAGGGACCUCUGGCUGGCAACACCCUGCCUGGGCCUCACUCGGCCACACAACCUGCUGCAGGAGAUGGCAAGAGAUGACUCGCCCACUCUGCCCACCUGGGCCAAGUUUGGCUGCACACCAGUUCCUAAGUUCUUGUCCCACACCCAAGAAGAAUGAGGAUAUGCUGACAAUCGAAGAGUGAACAAGGUGGGGAGUUUUAUUGAGUGAUGAAACAGCUUUCAGCAGAGAGGGGACCCAGGGGUGGUGCCCCUACCGAAAAGUGGGAAAGUCCCUGCAAUGUGGCUGAGUCUGGGGCUUUUAUAAGCUCAGAAUAGGGGAGGGGCAGGCUGUAGGUAGUACUGGAAAAGGCAACAUUUGAUUGGUUAAAAGGCAUUAUUCAGAAAGAAUCAAUUGGGAAAGGGUACAAAAACAGGAACAGAAGUUCUCACUCUGGGUUGCGGGUUUUAUCUUGGACCAGCAGUCCAGUCUUUCAGCCUUCAGGCUGUUUUUGGCUUGAAAGUGAGGUUUCACUGGGGACCUGCCCCUAUCUGCCUAGUCAUUUGGCUGCCUUCUGCUGCUCUCAAAUUGGUAUUUGCACAAUCUUUAUUACUUACAAAGCACCUCACAUAUCCCACGUAAAUUUCAUAGCAAUCCUAGAAAUACCUUUCACAAAUGAGGAAAUUAAGUUUAGAGAGUUUAAAUGGCACUAUUUUAUAUUCUCUCCAGGGUGGCAGGGACUGUGCAAUUAACCCCCUCACAGAUUUGCCUAAAAGACUUUUUUUUUUUUUUUAAACACAAUACUGUUAUCAAUCCUGGAGAUGCCUGAGAGUUGUCCCAGAACUUCUGGAAACUAUGCCAUGGAUCUAUAAUAUACCUUUCUAGGUUUGUCUUCCUCAGUCUCUGUGUUUUCUUCUAUUCCUGCCUGACAGAGGCCCCUUUUAUCCUCAUGCAUUCCCCCAGAGUUCCCUGACUCCCUUCCCCACAAUUCGCUAGGUCCCUUCUACUGAAAUGGCCUCUUUUGCCAUUUUUACCUAUUGAAAUUCUCCUUACCAUUCAGGUCUCAAGCCAUUUUCCAUCCAUUUCUUAAAAUGUUCUCCCAGCCCAGGCCCCACCCUCAGGAAGCCUGAGCUGUGUAGCUUGACUAUGCUGAUGUGCACCAAUGUUUCAGCAACAUUUUUCAUACCAUCCUGCCUUAAGUGGGUGCAGGAAUGCCACUGUGGAGCUCUUUGCAUUCUUAGUGCCUAAUGCAGUGUCUGGCAGUUGCAAGGGCUCCAGAAACUGCUGUGACUGAUUGAAGACUUCUGGCUACUUUAAUAUUUAAUCAUUUAUCACAUAUCCCUGAGCACUCAUUAACUGCUAUGGGGAAUGCAGAUUCAAGCAUUCCUCAAUUAGCUUUCAGUCUGAAACAGGGUUAGAAGACAAGUGUGUGAAUGACUAUUUAUGAGGCAGAACGUAUCACAAGGAGAAUGCCAACAAAAUGCAUGUUGGCAGGAAAAUUGACCAUGUCCCUUCCCUGCGUAAAUCCCUUCCAUGACUUCCCAUUAGGUUGAAAUCUAAAUCCCCCCUACCCACCAACAUACAUGGCCCCCUCAUAGCCUAACUGCCCACAUUUCAGCUACACUGGCCUUCAAUCUCUCCUCAUUGCCAGGCUUCUCUGAUUCUGGGCCUCUUCACAAUGCUGGUUCCUCCCCAAAACUCUGGCAUCUUUUCCAUAGCUCUUCCCACAGGAAGAGCUUAUUUCUUCAAGGAGGCCCCCUGGGCAGUCCUGGCCAGGUGAAAUUCUUGUUCCUUUUAAAAAAAUUUUAAUAGCAUUCAUCUCAAUGUGCAGUUACAUAUGUAUUUGUGUGGCUAAUUUGAUGAAUAUCUGUCCCCUUCACUAGAGAGUGAGUACCAUGAGAGUGGGCAUCAAGGUAUGUGCUCAUGGCUGUAUUCUCUAUGCCUGCAUGUCCUAGGCACUCCAAAAUAUUGAUUCAAUAAAUGAAGUAAUGAUGGUUUGGAAAGCA